AGGCUGAAAGUUAUUUUGGAGGAAAUUACACAUGACUGAAAUACGGCUGACGAGUUACCCACCAUAGCAACUGCUGAGGGCUGAUUAACCCUUUCUGGGAUGCCACAGGCCCAGGCCCUCCUUGCUACGGAUGACCCCCCAACCCAGCAGAUGCUUGGGCACAGAGUGCUCAGUGGUGGUUCAGCACAGAGGGAACCAGGGAUGCUGCAGCCAGAGGACUGGACAAGUCGAUCAUGGGGCACUGGGUGGAGCUCCAAGAUGGAGCAGGAGCUGGGCACAGGGGGUGGAGAGACGAUAGAUGCUACUGUGGACACUGGGCAGCUAUAAUCUCUGUGUAGUAGCUCUGCAGCAACACCACUGCCUGAAGAACAGGAUUCCUUCCUACUGUCCCUCACCCCGCUGUCUGGCACCCAGCUAGCGCUUUGGAGGUACAUAGUUGGAUAUUAUGAUCUUACAAAUGCAUCUGUGUGUGUUGCUUAAGGGUAUGCCAGGUUU
rnacentral:lncRNA from 1 species